UAUGAAGGAGUAGACAAAGAAUAGAAAAUGAGAGAUCUAGUAAGCAUGAACUUACCCAAGGUUGCUGCUGAGCAUCAAGAUGACAAAGAAGGGAAGACAAUCAACAGAAAGCUUGAUGAACAGCCACAAUUAGAUGGUUUUAGCGAAAUUCUUGAAAAGUGGCAAAACAUAUUAAAUGAGAUUUCACAAGUCGAAGUAGAGGAGAUUAUGAGUAAGAAUACAGCUGAGAUGGGAAAGAUGAAAUCGAAACCAAACGACAUUCUUGAUCUCAAAAUUCAACGAUGAAAGAGAAAUGUGAGAACAAUGAUUCCGCAAUAUCAGCAGUAAAAGAUCUAAUCACUGAGAUUUUCAGAAAGAUUCGGGAAGAUAAAGUUGAAUUCGGAAAACUACUAAAUGAAGUUGGAUCAGCAGUUUUAAAAGUGGAAUCAUGUGUGUCUCAGGUGAAAUUGGAGGCGUCUGAGAUCUAAAAAGACAUUCAGAAGUUGAAAUCGACAAACUUGGAAAAUUACUCGAAAGAGCUUUACAAAAAGAAAUGUAAUUGGAUUUCUGAUGUAAUACAAGGGAAAAAAAAUGUAUAAUUUGAUAAAUACGUUUUUGACAUUCACACUACAAUGCAGUUUCUCAAAUAAUUUUCUGA